UACGGAGGGGGCUAGCGUUGUUCGGAAUUACUGGGCGUAAAGCGCACGUAGGCGGCUUUGUAAGUUAGAGGUGAAAGCCCAGGGCUUAACCCUGGAAUUGCCUUUAAGACUGCAUCGCUAGAAUUGUGGAGAGGUAAGUGGAAUUCCGAGUGUAGAGGUGAAAUGCGCAGAUAUCAGGAGGAACACCGGUGGCGAAGGCGGAUCUCUGGGCCAUUACUGACGCUGGAGGAGCGAAAGCGUGGGGAGCGAACAGG
rnacentral:rRNA from 1 species